rnacentral:rRNA from 1 species
GACGAACGCUGGCGGCGUGCUUAACACAUGCAAGUCGAACGGAAAGGCCCUGCUUUUGUGGGGUGCUCGAGUGGCGAACGGGUGAGUAACACGUGAGUAACCUGCCCUUGACUUUGGGAUAACUUCAGGAAACUGGGGCUAAUACCGGAUAGGAGCUCCUGCUGCAUGGUGGGGGUUGGAAAGUUUCGGCGGUUGGGGAUGGACUCGCGGCUUAUCAGCUUGUUGGUGGGGUAGUGGCUUACCAAGGCUUUGAAGGGUAGCCGGCCUGAGCGGGUGACCGGCCACAUUGGGACUGAGAUACGGCCCAGACUCGUACGGGACGCAGCAGUGGGGAAUAUUGCACAGUAGGCGGAGGCCAGAUGUGGUAACGCCGCGUGCGGGAUGACGGCCUUCGGGUUGUAAACCGAUUUCGCAUGUGACGAAGAGAGAGUGACGGUAAUGGGUAAAGAAGCUCCGGCUAACUACGUG